GUCAGCACCCAGGGCCCGGCCAGCACCCAGGGCCGCGUGCCUCCGCGGUUUUAGGAGCGCUGUGCCCACGCACACACAUCACCUGACACCCAUUUACCUGUCGGGGCCCCGAAGACUUGGAGUUCGACUGCCACCAGAACAAAUGGCACCCACAUGCUUGCUGUUGACCUUCUAAAUUACAAUCAACAAAACAAUAAACCAAGACCUGAUUUGCAUUUGCCAACGUCUGCCAUGGAAAUACUUCCACCACAGUCAAUUUUAAUCUCACUUUUGGGAAGAAAUGCACAGUAGCAUACCUUACAUAGUGUUUCUACCAUACUGAUACAAUAGAUGUCAUUUGCCCUGAGCAAGAAAACCUCCAUGUUAUGAGAACACUCAAGCAGCCCAUGGACAGGCUCAUAAGG